CUCGACAAUUGGAUGCAAGUCGUUUCCUUAAAAGACAGUGUUGAACCUUAGCUGAAAAGUGAAACAGUUAGAUUUUCUUAUAUCAAGUAUCAGAGAUAGACAUCAGUUGUUAGACCUCUCUUUGUUUCCAAUGACAAUGAAAAACUUUUUACUUUCAUAGAUCAAAAUCUAUCUUGGAUGUUAAAGAUUCGUGAAAGAUAGAUGAUAGAAUAAAAUCUAUCCACAGUUAGAAGCCAAACUCGAGCCCGCAUUAGAGCCUGUUCAGUACCGGUAAGGUCAAAGGAUAUCACCUGCAUGCCCCGCGUACACGCAUCCCAUCUGCGAAAAAAUCCUCGAGCAUCCGCUAUACUUGACCUCUUACAGUAAUCUCCACGACAGUGUGUACCUGGCAGGUAAAAACGGAAUGUUAAAAACGAUCUAAAUUAUACACCCAGGGACGCGUUGCCAGCUAACAGCCGUCGUACUUAUAUGCAACACGAACGCUUACCAGCGAAAUUACGUGGCAAUCGUACGAAAAAACAAAAUUGUCCGAGGCCGAUUAACGAAAUUACACAGGAUUUUCGUGUAUCAGGAACGGUAUAAAAAUUCCGUUACUAGGAAUAUUUGAAUUAAUUUCUACGGUAAAUCUUCAUCAAGGACCUGUACAAUUGACAGGUCGAAAAUAAUAUAAUUAAAAUUUCAAUUAGUGACAGGAGGGAAGCAAAUCGAAAUUCGUGUCUCUAGAUAGCGGUAAGGUCAAAGGAUAUCAACCGCAUGCGCACACAUCCUGCCGACGAAAAGAACGACGAGGGUCCCGGAGAGUUGACCCUUGCCGGUAGUAUCCUAUCCUCCUCUCUCUCUCUCUCUCUCUCUCUUUCUAUCUAUGUUCGAAGCGUACCUGUACGUACGCUUAGAAUCUAGGUAAAGCCGACCGCGGCGCCGGUAGACCGUUAAGGUUCGAUCACUUAAACGUACGACACGAAAGGGGAGGGCAUGCAGCUCUCGUGGAGAAGGUGUAGGAGGCCGGUGCUCUCUGCAUACCUGCGUGCGAAGGUGUGUAUAAGGCAACGGAGAGCUCCAAAUGUCAGAAAGAAUCGAGCGGAAUAGAGCGAGUGAGCGGUCGAACAGGAUCGUCCGAACGAAAAAGGGAUCGUUACGUUGCCGGAACUGGCGGACGCCUUCUUCCAACGAAUCACCGACAAACAGGUAGCUGAAACAGCUACCUGUUUGUCGUCUGUCCGAUACAAAUCACUUCCGAUCAAAUGCCCGAUGGUUCAUGCACUAUUUAUGAUUUCAGGGAUGUUUAGAGGACUAGUGAUUCGAGCGGUGAAGUUCGAUGAACUGAAUAGAAUCUAGAUUCAAUUAGAGGAAUUAAAGGAUUAGCUGAGAAGAAUAGAGGAUAAUAACGUAAACACGUUUUCUUUCUUUCUAAAGGGGGGAACGAUUGUCGCCUGAAUGUCGGGUUUGCAAAAAUCCGAGGCCAACGUGGAAGGGAAUCGAGGCGAGAGGUACGAACGCAAAAGGAAAGGUGCACCGUUGCACUUGUACCUCGCGAGCCACCGUUGCUGCGGUUCUCCUGCCGGUGCAUUCUAAUCAACCGACUAUAAUUAAGCUCGCGAAGCUCGUAUUGGCGCCACGUGAGUAUUCCUGGCGGUACGUGCCGGCGGACUAGUAUUUAUUGCGCUGCGAAGAAGUUCACAGGGACGUGCGUCUCUCUAAUUACCCUCCGCGCCGUAACAAUAUUACAAAUUGCAUUAAUCAACCAACGAUUCGUAUCUCGUACGAUUCAAACGUUUAACAGCACUUUUUCUACUUCGUUUUCAAGCACGAAGGGCAUUAUGCGCACUGACAAGGGGUGUCUUGGGUCGGAGGGGAAGAAAAGAAAAAAAAAAAAGAGAAGAAAAAUUCAGCCGAUAAAUGGGAGCGUUAGGUGGUCGCUUUCACGAGGUGGCUAGAAUUAUUCCGGUUAUUAGGGUCGAAUCGAUAUACGCGAGCAUCAGGCCGCUUAGAAAUGGGAAAACGAUCAACGAUUCGGUUGUUAGAGGCGCGCUGUUAUAUUGGCGGCGCAUUAACCUCGUAUCGGGCAACUCGAGCGAAUUUCCGUUGGCUUGUAAAAAAGAAAGAGAGAAAGAAAGAAAAAACGAGCCCGAUGGAGCCGUAAAAAUCGAUCCGACAUUAAGAAAUUUAAUGACUCGGUAAAUUCGAUGAAUGCUUUCAUCGUAUUUCAUUAUAGGUAAUUAACAGUUUUACCAUCUCGUUAAUGAAAGGACGAAGCAACUUUUAUGACAGUCCGAUUACCUUGUUACAAUUAUACUUAAUAAAAGAAAACUAAAGAAAGAAAGAUGUACUUACUCCGGUCGUUACCUAAUUCGAACGUGUACCAAAUGAAAUUUCGAGAGGUGCGGAUGUCCGUUGUUGAUGGAAAAGAAGUAAUCGGUCGGUCUCUGAAAAGAACCGGCACAAGUAUGUAUACCGGUUAUCGACGAUAAUGGACCGGAUCGAUUCGUACGUACAUCGCGUAUACAAGCGGGGCGCAUAGUCGAAUCGUGGGAAUCGAUCGGAUUACAUCCGCCCAAUUAAUUUUUUUUCCCUGGUACCGCCUCUCCGCGCAUCACCCUUGUGAAAGAGCUGUCCUCUUUCCUCGCCGAAUGCUCUUGUUUGACCCGGUGCACCGAGCUGCAACGUCGCAAUGCACCUGGAAAGAGUACCUGGAACCGACCGGAAGCGGUCGCUGAUGUUUUUGGCGCGUACACCGAGAUUUACUCCUGCUCCGUUUGAUUAAGCCCGUCCCACCGAACAAGCGGAUGUCCAGUACCUGAAAUAAAGUUACAAUUAGUAAAAGAAUAUCACUGUGGCAUUAAACAUCCUCGAAGGAAGCGCGAGGCCGAUGUUUGUAAUUUCUACGAAGAAGAUGGACCGUAGAAUAUAUAUUUCUGAAACAAAAUAUUAUCAAAAAAUCCCUAUUUCAACUUUACUUUUCUUAGUUACUAUUCAACACGGUAACAAUUAAAUGAAGUACAAUUAAGAAUACAUUAGAUUAAUCCAUGAAUAAUAUGCCAAGCGAAACUAGGGGAAACUUAACGCUUCUUAAUUCUCCAUUAUCUGUUUCCCGUAAACGCCGUUGGGCAUCUUCAAUUAAGAAACGCGAUCAUGAAUCUGGAAAGAGAAAAAAGAAAGGAACGAUCCGCGUCUACGAUACGUGGAAAAGCGAGGAGAUACGCGAUGGUCGACUUACGAUACACGACUGUGUAUACACGAUGCAUCGAGGAAGAAGCGGAUCAAGCUCAGAAAUAGAGCGGAGAGGGAGAAGGAAGAAGAUCCUUAACGCCGUAUCACGUGGCUGUAAACUCUGCACGCCGAUGCACCAAACCGGAGGGCAAGUGAAAGUCUCGCGAAAGACGACGUAUCGGAGAUGCAGCGGUGUGCAACUACGUGUGUAGGUGUCUACGUGUGCGAGUGUGUGCGCCGUUUGACUGCAUGCACCUCCAUGCGUUUCUUCGUGCAACUUGGAAGUAUACCUGCAAAGAAAUCGAUGGAGUUAGUAUUUUCAUAGUUUCGGUUGAAAGUUUAAAGGGCCGAUUGUUUUGUUAGACUGAAAACAGAGAGAGAGAAAGAGUUUACUUUGACGAUGAGUAAUUUUCAAAGGAUCGGAUUCGACGAAUGAAAACAAUUUCUCGUUUCGUCGGCUUCGAUCACCGUCGACGGACGUAGGCGCCAAAUUUCCUGCAGAAUUUCCUACCGACGUCGAUUCGACGUGAGAAUUUCAGGAUCGUUGGAGCGCGACGAAAUCGCGACGACCCGUAUUCAAUCCUAUCUCUGCUGAUCGAUUGCGACAGAUUUCGUCGGGCCGCCGAUCCCCUUUCCGACCAUUCAACACUCUCGCCCCGUUGCCUUUCGUAGAUUCCAUCAGAUACUUAUAAGCCGAUGAAAAUUUCUUUCGACUCGCGUUAUAACGCGAAUAUUUCUCCCGAGAAGCGGGGAAAACGAAUCCAUGGAAAAGAACGUAUCGCCGUGGACGUUGAAAAAUGCUGAUGCAAAAAUGUUAAUUAACUAGACGGGAAUGAUGGAAAAUAAGCGAGAUAGGUAUUGAGAGAGGAAGAAUGCCACGGCAGUCGUAAUGGGUUUGCAGCGGAGAAGCUGCAGGUAAUAACCGGCGCGUAUAUAACGACACGAUGAGUCGUGGGUAGCUUGGCCACGAUCUUCCUUCGACGACUUUCACGAGGUUCCCUGGCUUCUGCUUAUAUCGUGUAUAUACCCGUAGAAUAUCUUCUAAUACUUAGCUUCGUAGGAUCGCGUCCCUGUUUCAUUCGACGUUCAAAGAACUUUACAAGUUAUGCGACGAUAAACUCUUAAAAAAGAAAAAAAAAGAGAAGUUAGA